GUAAAAUAUUAUAACACGAAUUAUUCAUACCAGUUGAAACUGUCUGUACAGUAUCAGGAUUUCUGGUAUUAGUUUAAUUUAAUUUGUAUAGUUCAGCCCGAAUCGUCGAUUUGUUGCGUGCUACUUCCGCUUUGUGCCAUGUGCUCGCUGUAGGAAGAUGCCGCAUGGCUAACACAAGGAAAUGCUGAAGAUCGGGGAUCGUGCUUAGUCAAAGCAUUGUAAUAAUGCCGACUACAAAACAGUCAACAGAUAACUCCACAGCGUGGCUGAAGAUGAGCCAAGCUGAAUGUAUAGUGAUAUUCAAGAUCCUGGAAGGGUUGUAAGAAAAUCAACUGACAUGGUAUAUGACGAGACUGGUUAUUCCCAAUCUGGAAUGAGUGGAAUUAUAAAAGAACUAAAAUAUUUCAUCACUCUGCAUAUGAA